rnacentral:rRNA from 1 species
UUUAUUGCUAUUAGAUGAGCCUAUAUUAGAUUAGCUAGUUGGUGGAGUAAUAGCCUACCAAGGCAAUGAUCUAUAGCUGAUCUGAGAGGAUGAUCAGCCACACUGGAACUGAGAUACGGUCCAGACUCCUACGGGAGGCAGCAGUGGGGAAUAUUGGACAAUGGGCGAAAGCCUGAUCCAGCCAUGCCGCAUGAGUGAAGAAGGCCUUUGGGUUGUAAAGCUCUUUUAGUGAGGAAGAUAAUGACGGUACUCACAGAAGAAGUCCUGGCUAACUCCGUGCCAGCAGCCGCGGUAAUACGGAGAGGGCUAGCGUUAUUCGGAAUUAUUGGGCGUAAAGGGCGCGUAGGCUGAUUAAUAAGUUAAAAGUGAAAUCCCGAGGCUUAACCUUGGAAUUGCUUUUAAAACUAUUAAUCUAGAGAUUGAAAGAGGAUAGAGGAAUUCCUGAUGUAGAGGUAAAAUUCGUAAAUAUUAGGAGGAACACCAGUGGCGAAGGCGUCUAUCUGGUUCAAAUCUGACGCUGAAGCGCGAAGGCGUGGGGAGCAAACAGGAUUAGAUACCCUGGUAGUCCACGCUGUAAACGAUGAAUGUUAAAUAUGGGAAGUUUACUUU